AGGGUUUGAUCCUGGCUCAGGACGAACGCUGGCGGCGUGCUUAACACAUGCAAGUCGAGCGGGGAUGUUCGGAGUGCUUGCACACUGAACAUUCUAGCGGCGGACGGGUGAGUAACGCGUGAACAAUCUGUCCCAUACAGGGGGAUAACAGAUGGAAACAUCUGCUAAUACCGCAUAAGACCACGAUGCCACAUGGCGAUGAGGUAAAAGGAGCAAUCCGGUAUGGGGUGAGUUCGCGUCCGAUUAGCUAGUUGGCGAGGUAACGGCCCACCAAGGCGACGAUCGGUAGCCGACCUGAGAGGGUGAUCGGCCACACUGGAACUGAGAGACGGUCCAG
rnacentral:rRNA from 1 species